AGUUCCCGCGUUUCCGAUUUUGUGGAGAGGUUCGCGAAUGAAGUGACCGGCUGAGUGGUAAAGAUUAAAUACACAGCCCUCAUAAAAGGGGUUAUUAACCUCUGUCGAGUCCUAAAGAAUAAUCAGUUUCCCCAGGAAUGGGUCUCUUAAAGCAACGGCGCCCUGAAAGGAUUUGGUGAAACCUAGCCGAGAGCUUUGUCCCACCAUGCUCUGCGGUGUUAACGGCCUUUGGCGGGAAAGACUCACGGGGGCGGAGUCUAAGGGGGCGGGACCGGGCGGUUGCUCCGGAAACGGGGGCGUCCUAGGAGAGUGCGCCUAGUUCAGCAGUUGCGUUGUCUGUGAUUCAAUGCAGAGCCAAGGCGUGACUUUGUCUUUCCGCCCCGUCUCCUGCGAACUGGCCGUGGGCUGCUUACCCUAUCGCUAGGCCCAACGCAGCGGAAAGGUCCAGUGAAGGUUGCAGAAUGAAUUGUGCCUGUUAUUUCUCCAGCUGCUUUCAAAGAACGAGAAAAAGCGCUCCUGCCUCUGUGUAUUGCAGAAUCCUGAAUUUCCUUCCUUUUUUUGAAGUCAUUACCAGGCUUCUCAAGUAAUAUGAAUGAGCACAAUGAAUGUGUGAGUACUACUGGGACCACUGGGGACCACAGUUGCUGCUCAGGACUGAUCCUGGCAGCAUGCUGGUCCAGGGAGCUCAGGAGUCCCCAACCCCUGCGCCGAGGACCGAUACUGUUCGUGACCAGGCCGCACAGCAGGAGAUGAACGGCAGGCGAGUGAGCAAAGCUUCAUCUGCCGCUUCCCACCGCUCCCCAUUGCUCGCAUUACCGCCUGAACCUUCCCACCCGACCCCCCAUCCGCGGAAAAAUUGUCUCCCACGAAACUGGUCCCUGGUGCCAAAAAGGUUGGAGACCACUGCUUUAGCUCAUCCUUCAAUGACAUAUUUUUAAACUGAACUUUCAAUUUAAAGAGAGAAGACCCUGGGAAUUUCCUGGAGGUCCAGUGGUUAGGACUUCUUCCUUCCACUGCAGGGAGCAUGGGUUCCAUCAUUCCAUCCCUGGUCAGGGAAUCCCACAUGCGCAGUGCGGCCAAAAGAAGAAAAAAGAGAAGACCCUGAUAAUUUUUCAGUGAGAAGCUGACCAAAAGGGACACUAUUUCAACAGAUUUAUUCAUUUCUAGCACUAUCCUACUUGGUUAGCAGCAGAAGAGAUGAGAGUUUUUAAAGAAUUCCAGGCACAUCAUGUAUUGGUUCUUACAUUCAAUAUUUAUUUACUGAGCACAUUUUCUAUCUAAUUUUAUCCAUCCAUUUAUGAUUAUUCAGAUUCAUCUUUGGUUGAUUAAUGUUAAGUCAGUAAUAACUGAAGUGAUUUAAACAUAGGUGCUUUUGAUUUCAAGGCAUUUUCAUUCCAGAAAAAUAAGAAAACCAUGAAUUGGCUUUGAUUUAUUCUUGUCCAAUUUAAUGCAGUCAUUUCUGAUUCUGUUCAGUUCAGAAGAAUACAGGGUAAAAUUUAAUAGAGAGUGAAUAGGACAUUCUUGUUUCUCUCUUGGCCUAUUUUACUGUGUUUGAGUGUAACCAAAUUGUAGGUUCUGGGGUCUCUUGUAACCGAAAGUGGGGUUCGGCUGCUCACUGCUCAGAAACCAAUAAAGGCCAGGUUGGUGGAAA